GUACCUUUUGCAUCAUGGUCUAACUAGUAAAACCAAGCAAAGUGAAACUUAAGUUUGACUUCCCGAAACUAGACGAGCUACUUUAAAACAGCCUUAUGGGCCAACCCAUCCCUGUUGCAAAAGAGUGGGAAGAUUUUCAAGUAGAGGUGACACGCCUACCGAGCCUAGAGAUAGCUGGUUAUUCAAGAAAAGGAUAUAGUCCAAUUUUAAGCCUCCCCCAAAUCACUAAAUACACCACCAGCUUUAAAAUUUAUUCAAAUAAGGUACAGCCUAUUUGAAACAGGAUACAACCUAUUCAGCAGGGUAAUGUUCUGCCCACAUGAUUAAGUCGGCCUAAAAGCAGCCACCUUUCAAAAAGCGUCACAGCUUAAUCAUACAGCAUCACUAAUUACUAUUAAAACUCAAAACCCUCCCCCUCUACUGAAUGAAUCUAUACCCAUAUAGAAAACCUUAUGUUAGAACUAGUAAUGAGAAAAUUUCUCCCUAAAGCAUGUAUAAGCCAGAAUGAACCACUCCCUGGCACUUACCGCCAUAAACAGUAUUAACCCCACAAGAAAAAUUUACUCUUUCUAAUCGUUAACCUUACACUAGAGCUUUACCGGAAGAUUAAAAAAGGGGGAAGGAACUCGGCAAAAAA
rnacentral:rRNA from 1 species